UACGUAGGGAGCAAGCGUUGUCCGGAAUCAUUGGGCGUAAAGCGCGCGUAGGCGGCCCUGUAAGUCCGUUGUGAAAGUCAAAGGCUCAACCUUUGAAAGCCGAUGGAUACUGCAGGGCUAGAGUCCGGAAGAGGCGAGUGGAAUUCCUGGUGUAGCGGUGGAAUGCGCAGAUAUCAGGAGGAACACCAAUAGCGAAGGCAGCUCGCUGGGACGGUACUGACGCUAAGGCGCGAAAGCGUGGGAGCGAACGAGG
rnacentral:rRNA from 1 species